UACGUAGGGUGCAAGCGUUGUCCGGAAUUAUUGGGCGUAAAGAGCUCGUAGGCGGUCUGUCGCGUCUGCUGUGAAAACUCAGGGCUUAACCCUGAGCUUGCAGUGGGUACGGGCAGACUAGAGUGCGGUAGGGGAGACUGGAAUUCCUGGUGUAGCGGUGAAAUGCGCAGAUAUCAGGAGGAACACCGGUGGCGAAGGCGGGUCUCUGGGCCGUAACUGGACGCUGGAGGAAGCGAAAGCUGGGGAGCGAACAGG
rnacentral:rRNA from 1 species